CUACAGAGUCAGCCUAUUGCCUCCAACAAUCUGGAUCCUCAUUUUACCCACCUCGGAAGGAUGGAAGGCUGAGUCAACCAUGAGCCUGGUGAGAUUCGAACUGCCAAAUUGCAGGCAGUCGGCGGUCAGCAGAAAUAGCCAGCAUACUGCACUCUAACCACUGCGCCA